CAGCCGCCGCGGUAAUACCGGCGGCCCGAGUGGCGGUCACUAUUAUUGGGCUUAAAGCGUCCGUAGCCGGGUUGGGAAGUCCUCCGGGAAAUCUGGCCGCUUAACGGUCAGAAUGCCGGAGGAUACUCCCAGCCUAGGGAGCGGGAGAGGCCGAGGGGAUUCCCGGAGUAGGGGGGAAAUCCUAUAAUCCCCGGAGGACCACCUGUGGCGAAGGCGCUCGGCUGGAACGCGUCCGACGGUGAGGGACGAAGGCCAGGGGAGCAAACCGGAUUAGAUACCCGGGUAGUCCUGGCUGUAAACGAUGCGGACUUUGUGUCGGACAAGCUAUGAGCUUGUCCGGUGCCGGAGGGAAACCGUUAAGUCCGCCGCCUGGGGAGUACGGCCGCAAGGCUGAAACUUAAAGGAAUUGGCGGG
rnacentral:rRNA from 1 species